UUUGGAUGCCGAGUACACCAUUUGUUAACGCACGUUCAUAGUAAUCAGCAUAUGCCACUUCUUUGGUCCAUCUGAACAAGUGUCGGGAAACCUUAAGCAUGUUAUAGGUCGUACAAGAUUCCUCAUUCUCAGUUUGUAGUGUGCUUGCCAACCGCUUUGGAUCAGACCAGAACUCACCGACUGAUGUCCCACCAGUUGCAUAGCUGUGUGAAGAAUUGACGAUAUCCAUAAAGUACGUCCCGAUUUCCUUGUAUAGGGGAUCCCCAGUAAUUUCAUAACGCAUUUGAGAUCCAACAACAAUUGGGAUGUGCGUAUUGGCAUGAAAACCUGAUAUAUCAUCAGCCUUUAAAGCUAAGAGUCCUAGAAAGCAUGGUUUGUCAAAA
rnacentral:misc_RNA from 1 species